GCUUGACACACACGCAAACGUAAAGGUCCAAAGCGGAGCUUUGGUCCUGCCCCCACACCUGCUCCUCCCCCCUCUGGAGAGGGCACACUGUCCUUCCACGUGGGGGACCCCACAUCCGAGGGCAGCCGCCGCCCGGGACCACCGACUUGGAUGCCGCGCUCUGCAGACCUGCCCGCCUGCCUCCCUCCAGGCAGCCCCCACGCUGCCAAGCGGCCACACCUUUUCUGAAACAUCAGUGUUUGUUUUAGCACCUGUCCUACUAGCACCGCCCAUCUUAGGCGUUAAGGAAGGACUGAAAAGAAAGGGACCUUCUCUUUCCUGCUCUGUGAAUGUUAUAAUUUCAGCACAAUCCAAGGAACACAUCCGCAUACUGCACAGAAGUAGAUGGCCUUCAGAUUGAAGGCUGGUUCCCAGGAAGCCUGCACCAGCAGAGAAGGCACCAUGCGCCAGUGUCUCUGAGCUGUGGAUGGACUGUGGUUUCCACCUCCCUCAUCCAGGGGACAAGCUGGCGAAGCCUCCUGAUUUCAGAGUGACCGGUGACGUAGCUCAGGCAGAGCAGAUGGUCUUCAAUAGCAUUCGAUACAGAUUUAAUGGUGGGGUUGGGGAAAAAAUAAAAUUACUUCCACAAAGUGGCUCGGCUGAAGUGGCAUUAUGUGUACGAUGAUAGGACUUUGAUUUUGCUAUUUUGUUAAAUAGAUAUCUAAUUGAAGAAUUUAAAUGUGAGUGCCCUGCCUAGGGGGUGUCAGUAGCUGACUGUAAGAAGGGAUUUGGUUGGCCUUUAUCCUUGGUUCCUGGGAGGUAAAUAAACUUUUGGAAUUUCCCGA